GACGAACGCUGGCGGCGUGCUUAACACAUGCAAGUCGAACGGUAAGGCCCUUUCGGGGGUACACGAGUGGCGAACGGGUGAGUAACACGUGGGUAAUCUGCCCUGCACUUCGGGAUAAGCCUGGGAAACUGGGUCUAAUACCGGAUAUGAGUCCCGGCCGCAUGGUCUGGGGUUGGAAAGUUUUUCGGUGCAGGAUGCGCCCGCGGCCUAUCAGCUUGUUGGUGGGGUAAUGGCCUACCAAGGCGACGACGGGUAGCCGGCCUGAGAGUGGGAUCGGCCACACUGGGACUGAGACACGGCCCAGACUCCUACGGGAGGCAGCAGUGGGGGAUAUUGCACAAUGGGCGGAAGCCUGAUGCAGCGACGCCGCGUGGGGGAUGACGGUCUUCGGAUUGUAAACCCCUUUCAGUAGGGACGAAGCGCAAGUGACGGUACCUGCAGAAGAAGCACCGGCCAACUACGUGCCAGCCGCCGCGGUAA
rnacentral:rRNA from 1 species